UUCGUGAGUCUCUGUCUAGGGUUUUUCCUUAUUUUGGUCGGCGUCAGUCUCUGUCGUGCGCUAUUGCUCCCUUCGUCUUUCUUUUUUGUCCCUCUUUUCUUCUUCGUGUUUACUUUCUCUGUGUGUUUUGUUUUGAGCGUUGUUUUUUUCUUUUUUUUCUCCUUUGGUGUUUCGCAGGUCAUGGAGCGUGGUGAUUCAUCGCGGGGUUAUGGGUUUGCGCCUGGUAAUGAGAAGCGAACUGACCGUGAAAGUGUUGUUGUGGACAUAUCUGGGGACGUUGAGGAAGAUGGGUCACAAUCUAAUGUGCAGUCCUUUUGCUUGGUGGGUUGACUGAUUUGUAUGAAGUCUCCAAAUAGGUUUCACCUGUUGGAGAUAAUGAGGAAGUCUUAGAAGACCCAGAAUAAUUUCACUGCACGUGAGUGGAGGAAAAACUUACUCCCUCCGUCCGCCAAAANUAAGGUAAUUAGAGACGUUGUCGUUUGAUUAGCCGGCGAGGCGUGCCAACUAUCAACUUUACGGGAAUCCACAUCAGCAUUAAGUUGGCCGGAAAAUUACUCUAGAAGUCAAUUGCAACAAAUGAAAGGUAGUUCAAUUUUUUGCUACAUUAAAAAGAAUUGUCAAAAAACCAAGAUUUUGGUAUAAAGUGGGGUAGUUUUCAUGCAAUUUGUCGUCCGGCGAGGCGUGCCACAUCAACUUUACAGGAAUCCACAUCAGCAUUAAGUUGGCCGGAAAAUUACUCCGGAAGUCAAUUGCAACAAAUUGAAAGGUAGUUCAAAUUUUUGCUACAAUUGAAAAGAUUGUCAAAAAACCAGAUUUUGGUAUAAAGUGAGGUAUUUUCAUGCAAUUUGCCCAAAUAAUAAUUGUCAUGAAAAAAUAUACUCCCCCGUCUCAGCUAAGAUGAUACAUUUCUUUUCGGCACGGGAUUUAAAGAGUUAUAUUAGUGUUUUAAGUGUGUAGUAUAAAAGUAAUAAAGUAGCAGAGAGAAGGUAACAAAGUGAUAAAGUAGAAGAGAGAAGAUAAGAAGAGAGUGAUUAAUUAGUUGUAAUUCUGCAAUUAAAAUCCCUUAUUUUUUUUCCAUAUUUAGAAAUGUAGCAUUUUCGUUGGGACGACCCAAAAAAGAAUAUGUAGCAUCUUCGUUGGGACGGAGGGAGUAAUAUUUUAAUAUCACUUUUGUUUAUGUCAAUUAUUACUUUUAAUCACAAUGUUAUAAUAAUUACUUCGAAUUAUCUGUGUUUUUCAACCAUCAUGUGACAAGCGCGCGACUCGCGCCCAGGCCUGCCCCAUUUCAUCCAUACACUCAGUCUCGUCUAAGUUUUCACAAAAUCUUGGGUACAUCUGGGUGUACCGCAUAACCGGGUUGACCCGUACUCAAAAUAGUGUUAUUUAUAUGAAUUGGGUCAGGAUAUGGGUUCAAAUCAGAGUGCGGGUCAAAGUUUAAGUGAAGGUGUGACCCGGUUGUACGGUACACCCGGGUGUACCCAAGACCACAUCCUAAGUUUUUGGCUAAUAUUUAUUUGUAGCUGAAAGAUUUGAGACUCCGAUUAUCAUUCCUAUUACUUACAUAUGAUACCUUAUUUUUUUCUGGGAUCGCUUCAUUUGUCUCUCGUGGGCAAACUGGCCGGCGUGGCCGCGCACGAUAUUUGUAAUAAUAAUGUAAAAAUACAAGAUAAUUUACCAUAUUAUAAUCAAAUCAACCUAUUCUUUAAUAAGCUUCCAAAAACUUAUUUGGUGGGCCGGCAAUUGAAAUUUUUCUUUGUAUUCGCCUCUUCCAUCUCACAAACACGAGACAUAUAUCUAAAAUGAGAGGAUAUUUAGCUUAGAGAGUUUAUAAAAAUUCAAUAAUUUUUAAAUUGUUUGAAAGUUUUUAAAUAACAUCUCUUAAAAUCUAUAAAUUACUCCCUCCGUCCGCGAUAUCGUUUCUACAUUUGCCAUUUUGGUCCGUCCGCGAUAUCGUUUCUACUUCCAUUUAUAGAAGUAGGAUCUAUAAACUUCCACUCACAAUAAUAGUGGGACCCAAACUUCACUCACUACAUAUCCACUACUAUCCAUCAUUUUUUAAAAAACACGCGUCAUUCAUAAUGUGGAAACGAUAUCGCGGUCGGAGAAAGUAUUAAAGUAUUUAGAUAAUUAAAUUUAUAAGUCAGCGAGAAAAUUUGAACUAAAAAGAGAAUAAAUACUGAUAGAUUAUUUGACCAGGCCAAUAUACAUUGGGAUUGGGCGUGUUAAUAUAUAUAGUUGAAUUAAUGUCAAUUCUCCCGAUCAUACUCCUCAUCAAUCCCAAAACAAGUUAGUGCAUUUUUUUCUUUGAAUCACACCACAUGCUCCUCGACUGAUCUAAAUCUUAUCAACUUACAUCAAUCCCAGUAAUCUCUUAUAUUUCCUCCGUUCACAAAAAAUAAUCACUUUUUAUCAUUCUGAUACGCCCACAAAAAUUAUUCACAAUACAAUUCCUUAUAUCACACAUCAUUUUUUUCAUUUUUUGAAAAUUUUGUAGUAUUACAUAUUGGGCCAUUUUUCUUCAAUCACAAUACAAUUAUUUAUCAUUAUUUACACUAUUUUUUUAAGUGAAUUUUUUUUCUCUACUCAUAUAUAUAUUCCUCUGUCCACAAAGAGUGUGUGGUAAAGUGGAGGGCACGGAUUUUUAUAAAAAAAUUGGUAAAUGAUUUUAAUGUUAAAUGGUAGUACGAGGCCCACCAAAUUGUAAGAGUAAAGGGUGAAUAUUUUAUAAAUAUUGAGUGUGAAUUGAUUUUAAAGUAUAAAUGAAGUUUUUAAAAGAUGAAAACACACAAUCUUUGUGGGCAGACGAAAAUAGUAAUAAACACACAUUUUUUGUGGAUGGAGGGAGUAAUUUCGAAUAUGAUGUAAAAGAAUAAAAAACGACACCUCAUCCAACAUCAUUACAGGUUAAAAUGACCCGUUUAGAAUUCGACCUAAAACACCUAAUUAAUUACCAAGAAAGUUCCCUAGGCGUCUAGGGUUUGGUCCUCUAGGUUUCUCUAGGGUUUUGUCCUCUUCGUGAGUCUCUGUCUAGGGUUUUUCCUUAUUUUGGUCGGCGUCAGUCUCUGUCGUGCGCUAUUGCUCCCUUCGUCUUUCUUUUUUGUCCCUCUUUUCUUCUUCGUGUUUACUUUCUCUGUGUGUUUUGUUUUGAGCGUUGUUUUUUCUUUUUUUCUCCUUUGGUGUUUCGCAGGUCAUGGAGCGUGGUGAUUCAUCGCGGGGUUAUGGGUUUGCGCCUGGUAAUGAGAAGCGAACUGACCGUGAAAGUGUUGUUGUGGACAUAUCUGGGGACGUUGAGGAAGAUGGGUCACAAUCUAAUGUGCAGUCCUUUUGCUUGGUGGGUUGACUGAUUUGUAUGAAGUCUCCAAAUAGGUUUCACCUGUUGGAGAUAAUGAGGAAGUCUUAGAAGACCCAGAAUAAUUUCAC
rnacentral:lncRNA from 1 species